CUCCCAAGUGAUAGGAUUAAGGGUGUGUGCCACCACUGCCUUUCCUGAAUGUCUAAUCUAGUGGCUGGCUCUGUCCUCUGAUCCUCAGGCAAGUUUAAUAGGGCAGACAAUAUAUCACCAUAUUCCAUCACCUCUUGGCUCUCAUAAGCAUCCUCCUUAUGUCAGCCACAGUCUGAUGGAAGCCUUUGAAAGGAGCCAGAGUAUCUGAUGUCCCAAGAUCUCUGGAAGAAGCCAAGGAACACUCCUAACACUAAGGCAUACUGUAUCUAAAUGUCUUGGAUCACACAGAUCACCUCGAGUGAUUGACCGACACAUCUAGGUGUAUCCAGAGCCAUCUUCCACACCUGAGGAUCCCUGCUCCCUGGUCACCAGUGAAGAUGAUGCUGACUUUGUACUGAAUGGAAGUUUUACAUAAAACAAGCAGAUUCCACAUUCUGGAUUGGGAAACUGGACCACUGUGGAGGGAACAAUGAUUUCUUUAGGAUCUUCACUAUUUCUCAAGUGCUGUGGAGGUGUAAAAUCUUUUAAUAAAUAUGAGGUCCUUCAGCAAAUUAAA